rnacentral:rRNA from 1 species
UGGGGAAUAUUGCACAAUGGGGGGAACCCUGAUGCAGCGACGCCGCGUGAGUGAAGAAGUAUUUCGGUAUGUAAAGCUCUAUCAGCAGGGAAGAAAAUGACGGUACCUGACUAAGAAGCCCCGGCUAACUACGUGCCAGCAGCCGCGGUAAUACGUAGGGGGCAAGCGUUAUCCGGAUUUACUGGGUGUAAAGGGAGCGUAGACGGUUAUGCAAGUCUGAAGUGAAAGCCCAAGGCUCAACCAUGGGACUGCUUUGGAAACUGUAAAACUGGAGUGCAGGAGAGGUAAGCGGAAUUCCUAGUG